rnacentral:rRNA from 1 species
AGAGUUUGAUCCUGGCUCAGGAUGAACGCUAGCGGGAGGCCUAACACAUGCAAGCCGAGCGGUAUUUUUCCUUCGGGAGAGAGAGAGCGGCGCACGGGUGCGUAACAGGUGUGCAACCUACCUUUAUCAGGAGGAUAGCCCAGAGAAAUUUGGAUUAAUACUUCAUAAUAUAUCGAAUGGCAUCAUUUGAUAUUGAAAACUACGGUGGAUAAAGAUGGGCACGCCCUAGAUUAGCUAGUUGGUAAGGUAACGGCUUACCAAGGCUACGAUCUAUAGGGGUCCUGAGAGGGAGAUCCCCCACACUGGUACUGAGACACGGACCAGACUCCUACGGGAGGCAGCAGUGAGGAAUAUUGGACAAUGGGUGGAAGCCUGAUCCAGCCAUCCCGCGUGAAGGACGACGGCCCUACGGGUUGUAAACUUCUUUUAUAUGGGGAUAAACCUCUUUACGUGUAGAGAGCUGAAGGUACCAUAUGAAUAAGCACCGGCUAACUCCGUGCCAGCAGCCGCGGUAAUACGGAGGGUGCAAGCGUUAUCCGGAUUUAUUGGGUUUAAAGGGUCCGUAGGCGGGCUGAUAAGUCAGAGGUGAAAUCCUACAGCUUAACUGUAGAACUGCCUUUGAUACUGUUGGCCUUGAAUUUUUGUGAAGUUGCUGGAAUAAGUAGUGUAGCGGUGAAAUGCAUAGAUAUUACUUAGAACACCAAUUGCGAAGGCAGGUAACUAACAAACGAUUGACGCUGAUGGACGAAAGCGUGGGGAGCGAACAGGAUUAGAUACCCUGGUAGUCCACGCCGUAAACGAUGAUUACUCGUUUUUGGGUUUAAUUACUCAGAGGCUAAGCGAAAGUGAUAAGUAAUCCACCUGGGGAGUACGUCCGCAAGGAUGAAACUCAAAGGAAUUGACGGGGGCCCGCACAAGCGGAGGAUCAUGUGGUUUAAUUCGAUGAUACGCGAGGAACCUUACCAGGGCUUAAAUGGGAAUUGACAGGCGCAGAAAUGUGUUUUUCUUCGGACAAUUUUCAAGGUGCUGCAUGGUUGUCGUCAGCUCGUGCCGUGAGGUGUUAGGUUAAGUCCUGCAACGAGCGCAACCCCUGCCAUUAGUUGCCAUCAUUAAGUUGGGGACUCUAAUGGGACUGCCAGCGCAAGCUGCGAGGAAGGUGGGGAUGACGUCAAAUCAUCACGGCCCUUACGCCCUGGGCCACACACGUGAUACAAUGGACGGUACAGAGGGCAGCUACCUGGUGACAGGAUGCGAAUCUCGAAAGCCGUUCUCAGUUCGGAUUGGAGUCUGCAACUCGACUCUAUGAAGCUGGAUUCGCUAGUAAUCGCGCAUCAGCCAUGGCGCGGUGAAUACGUUCCCGGGCCUUGUACACACCGCCCGUCAAGCCAUGGGAGCUGGGGGUGCCUGAAGUCGGUGACCGUAACAGGAGCUGCCUAGGGUAAAACUGGUGACUAGGGCUAAGUCGUAACAAGGUAACC